rnacentral:rRNA from 1 species
GACGAACGCUGGCGGCGUGCCUAAUACAUGCAAGUAGAACGCUGAAGAGAGGAGCUUGCUCUUCUUGGAUGAGUUGCGAACGGGUGAGUAACGCGUAGGUAACCUGCCUUGUAGCGGGGGAUAACUAUUGGAAACGAUAGCUAAUACCGCAUAACAAUGGAUGACACAUGUCAUUUAUUUGAAAGGGGCAAUUGCUCCACUACAAGAUGGACCUGCGUUGUAUUAGCUAGUAGGUGAGGUAAUGGCUCACCUAGGCGACGAUACAUAGCCGACCUGAGAGGGUGAUCGGCCACACUGGGACUGAGACACGGCCCAGACUCCUACGGGAGGCAGCAGUAGGGAAUCUUCGGCAAUGGGGGCAACCCUGACCGAGCAACGCCGCGUGAGUGAAGAAGGUUUUCGGAUCGUAAAGCUCUGUUGUAAGUCAAGAACGGGUGUGAGAGUGGAAAGUUCACACUGUGACGGUAGCUUACCAGAAAGGGACGGCUAACUACGUGCCAGCAGCCGCGGUAAUACGUAGGUCCCGAGCGUUGUCCGGAUUUAUUGGGCGUAAAGCGAGCGCAGGCGGUUUGAUAAGUCUGAAGUUAAAGGCUGUGGCUCAACCAUAGUUCGCUUUGGAAACUGUCAAACUUGAGUGCAGAAGGGGAGAGUGGAAUUCCAUGUGUAGCGGUGAAAUGCGUAGAUAUAUGGAGGAACACCGGUGGCGAAAGCGGCUCUCUGGUCUGUAACUGACGCUGAGGCUCGAAAGCGUGGGGAGCGAACAGGAUUAGAUACCCUGGUAGUCCACGCCGUAAACGAUGAGUGCUAGGUGUUGGAUCCUUUCCGGGAUUCAGUGCCGCAGCUAACGCAUUAAGCACUCCGCCUGGGGAGUACGACCGCAAGAUUGAAACUCAAAGGAAUUGACGGGGGCCCGCACAAGCGGUGGAGCAUGUGGUUUAAUUCGAAGCAACGCGAAGAACCUUACCAGGUCUUGACAUCCCGAUGCUAUUUCUAGAGAUAGAAAGUUACUUCGGUACAUCGGUGACAGGUGGUGCAUGGUUGUCGUCAGCUCGUGUCGUGAGAUGUUGGGUUAAGUCCCGCAACGAGCGCAACCCCUAUUGUUAGUUGCCAUCAUUCAGUUGGGCACUCUAGCGAGACUGCCGGUAAUAAACCGGAGGAAGGUGGGGAUGACGUCAAAUCAUCAUGCCCCUUAUGACCUGGGCUACACACGUGCUACAAUGGUUGGUACAACGAGUUGCGAGUCGGUGACGGCGAGCUAAUCUCUUAAAGCCAAUCUCAGUUCGGAUUGUAGGCUGCAACUCGCCUACAUGAAGUCGGAAUCGCUAGUAAUCGCGGAUCAGCACGCCGCGGUGAAUGCGUUCCCGGGCCU